UACAGAGGGUGCUAGCGUUAAUCGGAAUUACUGGGCGUAAAGCGCAUGUAGGCGGACAUUUAAGUCGGGUGUGAAAGCCCCGGGCUCAACCUGGGAAUUGCAUUCGAUACUGAAUGUCUAGAGUAUGAUAGAGGAGAGUGGAACUUCCGGUGUAGCGGUGAAAUGCGUAGAUAUCGGAAAGAACACCAGUGGCGAAGGCGGCUCUCUGGAUCAAUACUGACGCUAAAGUGCGAAAGCGUGGGGAGCAAACAGG
rnacentral:rRNA from 1 species